UUUUUUUUUUUUUUUUUGAGACAGAGUCUUGCUCAGUCACCCAGGCUGGAGUGCAGUGGCGCUAUCUCAGCUCACUGCAAGAUCCGCCUCCCAGGUUCACACCAUUCUCCUGCCUCAGCCUCCCGAGUAGCUGGGACUACAGGCACCUGCCACCACACCCGGCUAAUUUUUUUUGUAUUUUUAGUAGAGACAGGGUUUCACCAUGUUAGCCAGUAUGGUCUUGAUCUCCUGACCUCGUGAUCUACCCGCCUCAGCCUCCCAAAGUGCUGGGAUUACAGGCGUGAGACACCACGCCCGGCUCUUUUCUCUUUUUAUCUAAAUUAUUCAUUCAUCAUUUAUGCAAUAGAUAUUGUGCUCCUUCUAUAACUCAAGCAUGUGCUAAAUGCUGGAGUUACAACAAGUAAAUACGGAACGUUUGCUCUCAGGGAGGUCAUAGUCUAAUGUGGAAAACUGAUGAUAAAGUGUGAUGGACAUGGAGACCCACAUCCAAGCAUGAAGUGAUGCCUGAAUGAUGAGGCAGCUAAGACUCAGAGAAACUGAAGACUUUUUCCAAGUUCUCUCAGUUGGCUGAUGACAGGGUUGGAACUGAAGAGAUCAGUCAGAACAAAAGCCUGGUCUUCUGCCACUACCUCCUUGAGAUUUCCCAGACUCCCACGUUUGGGGGCUUCUCCUCUUGUUCUUUCUAUCCAGUUGCACGUAGUUCAUACUCACUCUUUUCCUAGCACUGAUCUAUUCCUACCUCAGUAGAAUUCACAUUUAUCACUAAAGCCAGGCAUCUGCCCUACCUCCCUCUAAGGAUUGAUGUGCUGAUAAAUUGAGCUAAUCAAUGUAAAAGUACUUUAAGAAGUACACUGCAACACAAACCUAAGUCCCAAAACCACAAUCUAAUUAACAUAUUAAUUUAAUCAAUGAAUCAGUCAAAAUAUCAAUCACAAAUUAAUGCUAGGUUCUGUGGGAGAUAAGGCAUGUCUUCAUAUACAGCAUGGCCCCAUCCCUAAAGGAAUUUAUGGAUGAGUUGGUGGUAAAAAGUUAAAGAAGAAAGAAAGUAGGCAUUUAUUGAGUGCCUAUCAUGUAGUAUGCACUGUGCUAUCUGCUUUUCCUUAUAUUAUCUCACAAUAAUCCUCACAACAUUCUAGGAGGUAGUCAUUAUUUUCUUCAAUGUUUGGAUAGAAUGUUUCGAUAGAAUGCCCUCCCCCAAUGCCUCUCUGUUCGAGCACAACAUGGCAUAAUAGCUAAAAAGCCUUGGAUCAGGGCUCAAACUGAAUUUGUAUCCAGGCACUGCCAAUUACUUUCUGUAUACUCUGAGGAAAUUGCUCAAAUUUUCUGCACCUCAGUUAUAAAAUCAGGAAGAUAAGAAUAGUACCAAUUGUAUGCUUUGUUGUAAGGAUAAGGUGACCAUAUAUGUUGACGUAUUUGCCACAGUGGCUGGUCCAGAGUAAGCACUAGAUAAAAGCUAAGAUAUUAUUAUUACUAUCCAGCUCCAACUCCUUUUUAUCUGCAGUCUUCCCAGAUCUCCUAUCGAAAUUAGUCUCUUUUACCUCUGUAUCUUCACAUUACUAUAGGCAUGCUUCUCAUCAUGUUCAUAUGUGUACCUGAUUAUUACUGCUUAGCACAGAAAAAAUAAUAAAUGUAGGUGAUUAGAUGAAUGUCUCCCAGAAUGACAUCACAUGCUCAUAGAAGGAAGGAAGUAUUGUGUUUCUAGCUAUAAGGCAGACAAAAUGCCUGGAUAUUAUAGAUAAAGUAUACUUUCAAAUGCCUAGUCAACUCUCAUGUAAAUUGGAGAAACCCCCAAGGGGACACACACACACACACACACACACACACACACACACACACGAGGGAUUGGAAUCCAGCACGGUAAACAGGCACUAAAGCUACUGCUGCUCUGGAAAGUCUAUCUUAUUAACUUUGAGGCUCAGUUUAAAGGGCAUUAUGGAGAACAGGAGCCAAGGCUUAGUACCUUCAAAAAAUGGAGAGUUGGAACUGAGACCCCUGCAUAAAAGUGAGACUCACAAAGAAAUAUGUACUCAGUGAAAGGGUAGACUAGGAAAAAAAAAAAAAAGAAAAAAGGAAACCUGCUUAUCUGCAAUAAAGAAAAGCAGGGAAAUAUGUUGGCCUUGGCCUGGGCUCAUAAGAUGUUAAAAUCACAGAUACACCUCCCUAACCACAGGUUCAGGGUUUGAAUUUAUACUACCUACAUGAUCUUGGAAGUCUCAGUUGAAAAAAUCAGUUUAAACUGGCCUCAGGUUGAUACCACCCCAGGGUACCUGGCAGAAGCAGAUCUUAUCGGAGGGACAGCCACCCAGGCCUCAUAGGAGUGUAACAAACAAAGCCCCACUGAAUACGAGAUCACAAUUUGAAAUUACAAACCAUACUAGGAAACAAGCUACCAUGAGUGAGAGCCAGCAGAAACCACAAUGAACAGAAUUAGACUUUACAUAACAGUUAUUCUAUAUAAAUUGUUUUAAAUUUAAAAGAAAUAUAAGAGAAAUACGAAUAUGGAAAAGGAAUAAAUAACAUAUAAAAAGACCAAGGAGAAUGAAGAAAGAACCAAAUACUACUUACAGAAAUCAAAAUAUACAAUCAUCAAAGUUAGAAACACAGCGAAUGAGUCUAAGUAGAGAAGACACAGGUAAAGAGAGAAUUAAGGAAAUGGAAGAUAAAUGUGAAGAAAUUACCCAGCAAAAGGGCAGAGGCACAAAUAAAUGAGAAACAUGAGAUGUUAAGGGGACAGGAAGAAAAAACCCAAUGUGAAAAAGGCAAUAUUUAGAGAUAAUGUUUCCAGAAUUAAGGAUAAGAAGCUGAUUAGUUUGAUCUUUGAAACUACAGCACCUGGCAAGUGCCUGUUAGAUGCCUAAUAAUGUUCUUUGAGUUGGAUUGACACAAGUCCUUUAGCAUUUGCUUGUCCUUUACUUCAUAUAUUUAUUCGUUUUAAAAAAUAUUCAGUAGAAAUACAGAGGUGAACAAAACAAAGUUCUUCUUUGAGUUUGUGUUCUGGACAAAAAUGACAAAUAAUAAACAAAUUUACAAAUUAAAAUGAGAUACUUUUGAAUUAUAAGAAGUGCUAUGAAGGAAAUAAAAGGGCUACUUAAUAGCAACUUGGGAAUAGGAUUUCACUGAAGAAGUGAGACCUCAGUAAGAAGUGAAGUGAAAGUAUUCCAAGUGAAGAUACAGCACAUACCAAGGCCCUGAGUGAGAAAUCACUUGGUGUUUUUGAGAAAAAGAAGUCAAUGGGUCUGGGCUGAGUGAGUGACAUGGAGAGUGGUAUAAGAUGUGGUUGGAGAGUGGUAUAAGAUGUGGUUUGAGAGGUAGGCAAGAACAAUGGGAUUUUUUUUUAUUUUUAAAUAAAUUUGAGAGCAACAGAAAGUCAUUGGAGAGUUUCAGGCACAGGAGUGAUGUGCUCUGUCACCCUGGCUACUCUGGAAAUAGAAUGUAGUGGGGGCAAGAAUGGAAGCAGGGAGUCUAGUUAGUAACUUCAGUUGUCCAUGCAAGAGACAACAGCAGCUUGGGCUAGGGUGAUAGCCAUGAGUAUGGAGAGAAGUGUAUGGAUUUAGAUAUGUUUUGAAAAUAGAAACAUUGUAUUUGAUGGAGACAACAGAAAAGAUGAAGGAAAGGGAAGGAGGGAUCAAGUAUCAUUCCUGUUUUCUGGAUUGAGCAGCUGGGCAAACAGUGGUGCCAUUUUCCAAGAUGAAGAAUAGAAGAGUAACGCUUGGGUAGGGGUGGGAUGGGAACAUGAAAUAGGAGUCCUGUUCUGGACAUGUUAAGCUCAAGAUGCCCAUUAGAUGUUCAGGUAGACAGCUGUAUAUGGCAAUAUGGAUGACCUCAGGAAAAUGAGCCCUAAACCAAGGAAUGCUCAUAUUUUGAGACAUGUGUUUCCUUCAAGAUCCACCUGUGUCAUAGGCUUGAACAGGGGUAUGUGUAGGGGACUGAGCACUUCCAGCUACAGAUUCUCUGGGAAAAGGGCCAGUGUAACUCUUGAGUUCAAGAAACGCUGCCUGUACCCCUGCCCAACUUAGAAGUGGAGCUUAGGUUCUUCCAGGCCUGCCUAACCCUGAUGCUUUUGGUAGCUGAUGUAGUUUUAAGCCAAUGUGCUUUCUGAGGGAUGCCAAAAGAAUGAGUAUGGAAAAUGACUUGGUGACAAACCCAGGCAGCUCUUCUGUGGGGAAGGGUGGAGGAGUCCUCAUGCAAUCUGGCUCCCACCCAUUCCCACCCACCAGCUGAGGGCAUUGUAUCCAAGAGAUCCAAGGGAGUAGAGUCAAGAAGAUGACGCAUCAGGAGGUACAAAGAAAAAGGAGAUCCCAGAUGAGGUAAUGACCAAAAAAUGCCAUAACCCAUUACAUAAGUGAAAGUGAAACCUGAGGAACAAAUAAACAAAGGGUAUCAGAUUGAUGUAAAAAUACAAGAAGCUCACUCUGUGGUUGCUGACAUACAUCAUUGUGGAAACAAAAUCAUGUCCAAAAUGACUAUGGUUAAACUUGGAACCACAUGACAGGAGUUUUAGGAAGUUCCAAAAGAAUCAAAAAUAACUUGAACAAAGUAGCAUUCUUCCCUGGGCUUAUGGCUUUGAGAAAGGACAAGUGCCCCUCUGGAGAGAAGAACAACAGUCCACAGGGGACCAAGUGGCUCAAGGGAGUUCAUGUGAAUGAAGGAAACUACUGUCUUUGGAAUGUAUUGGAAAAUUGUCUGACACCUGAUAUUAGUCAGGAUUCAGUUCUCAAGUCCAUUAGAUUACAGUAGGAUAGUUGUUGUUGUUGUUGUUUUCUCAGCUGAAUAUAUAUAUUCAGACCCACUGCAAUUUCUCUCCUUUCAUUCCUCAAGAAAACCAAGAAUGUGGCCAGGCAUGGUUGUUCACGACUGUAAUUCCUACCUUAGGAGGCUGUGGGUGGAUUACUUGAGUCCAGGAGUUCGAGACCAGCCUGGCCAACAUGGCGAAACCCUGUCUCUACUAAAAAUACAAAAAAUUAGUAGCAAUAGUAGUAGUUCCCGCUACCUGGGAGGCUGAGGCACAAGAAUCGCUUGAACCUGGGAGGUGGAGGUUGCAGUGAGCCAAGAUCACGCCACUAUACUCCAGCCUGGGUGACGAAGUGAGAGUCUGUCUCAAAAACAAAACACAAAACCCAAAAAACUAAGAAUGUUACUUUACACUUGUACCUAAUAACGCACUUUGCAUUGGUCACUAGGAAACUCAGAACCAAAUUUGUGGACUACCCUUAAUGUACUAAGUACAUAAAACUUUAGGUAGCAUAUAUCUUGUGUGUUAACCUCAUUACUGGCUUAAUCUUAUUUCUAUACCCUAUUUUUCUCUUAUCCCCAUUUUCUUUUCUUAAAAAAUAGUGUAUUGGACAUAUUAUGUGUUUUGAAACAAAGUAGAAUACAAAUAAACAAAUAAGUCGACUUUCUGUCCAAACAAGACAGCAUGAAAAGCAGGAACUUGGUGGUGGUAUGACGUUUCAAUGAACCAAAGAGGCUCUGAUUACCGUCUGUAGACACCCACGGCACAAUUAUUAAGUUCAUUAGACAGAGAGGAAUCUGGAUUCAGCUGUGACAGGACAGCAAAUUAAAUAUACAUGGACAAAAGGAGGAGGCAUUCAAGGUAAGAUGUGCAGAGCCAACAAAAACAAUCAAAUGCGUAAUUCUAACUCCUGUAUGGGUUGAUUUCCAUGUGGGCCAGGGAAGCCUUCCAGGACAACCUCCUUUGGCCUGCCUGGGUGGUUACCUCUUAUAGAAACUCAGCUGUAUCUUGGGCAUGGCUGGUCUGUCAGCUUUUACCCAUGGGGAAUAGCCAAACUCUUGUCUAGAUGAGUGGGUUAAAAACCACCUCUGAUCUCUGGAAAGGUUACUUUGCCUACCUUCUGGUCAUUUAUUUACAUUUCGUAGUCUUCAUUAUUUAUUUAUUUAUUUUUACAAUUACAAAAAUAAUUAAAAAAUAAAACUACAGCAGUAAUAUAAAGGCAAUAACAAUUCAAAUAAUAUCAAAAUACAUAAAAUAUAAAAUCAAGCUUCCCUUUCUUUCCCUCUAUUCUCCCAUUCCAUUGCUCCUCUCCCAUUCCUCACGAGUAACCACUGGCAGUUGUUCAGUAUGAAUCCUUCUGGAUCUUUCCUAUGCACAUUUAGACGUAUUUACACAUACACAUACCAUAAAAAGUCUGUGUAUAGCUUUGUUUUUUAAAAAAGAAUUUUUCUACUCACAUUUUUCUGUAACUGGUUUUUGUAACUAAUAUAUUGUAGAUUCUACUUAUAUACAGACCAACCACACUCUUUUUAAUGGCUGUAGAGUGAAUCAUGAAAUCAUAGUAAAAAUAUACAUUAAUGUAUUCAGCCUAGUAAGUAGCAUUUACAUUGUUUCUAAUAUUUUGAUAGAAUAAAUUAAUACUGCAUCAGAUUCUUAUGCCUGUGUCCUUUGGCUCUUAUUUCUAACAGUAGAACAGCUGAGUUAAAGAGUAUACAUGUUGAAUUUUGAUAGGCACUGCCACACUGCUUUCCAGAAAGAUUGACCAAUUACCAUUCUACCAACAAAGAUUGUCCUUUGUUCACAUUCUCACCAACAGUGGACACUGUCAGUGUUUUUAAUUUUGACAGAACUGAUUGGCAAGAGCAUGCUAUUUAUUUUGAUUUAUAGUUACCUGAUCAGUAGUAAGAUUGAGCUCAUUUUCAGUCUCUCCUUUUACUAUGGCUACAAUAAAAGAGCUGAAAGUGUGGUUUUUGAUUUAUUUCUUUUAGAUAUAAAUGACCAAUCCAAAUAGUGAUAUUUUGAACUACUAAUUUCUAAGAAGAUUCACAUUGGAAUGUUACAUAUCUCCAUAUUAGGAAAAUCAGUCAUAAUUGAACUCCCAAAGUCAAAUUACAUCUGAUGUUUAUUCUGGGAUUCAUAUAAUUGUUUUUGGCCAAAAGUAUUGAAAGAUGCCAGAACUAUAUUCUUUUUUUACUUUUGUUUCCUUUAUUUCUUCUAAAAAAAAAAAAAACAACAAACUUAGGAUACAUGUGCAGAACAUGUAGGUUUGUUACAUAGGUAUACGUGUGCCAUGGUGGUUUGCUGCACCUAUUGACCCGUCCUCUAAGUUCCCUCCCCUGACUCCCCACCCCCAUACAGGCCCUGGUAUGUGUUGGCCAGAACUAUAUUCUGUUGAUUUUGUACCAAAUUUAUCACACUAGGAGUUGCAAGUAACAGAAAGAACUGUGACCAAACUAUGGAAAAAGAAAUUUAUUAGGAGACUAUUUGGAGUCCAUUGUUGUGCUAAUUAAUGGGUGACUGGUCACCAGGAACCACUACCGCAGUCUCAUAGCAGGCAUGGUAUGGCUGGUAGGUCACCUCCACACAGCAAAUGUUUUAAGUUUCUUGGUCUCUGUGCUCAAGAGUUUAAUUCUAGGGGGAAAGCAUUUGAUUGGCCUAAUGUGGGCCUCAAGGGAAGGAAGGCUUUUAAUGACAGCCCCCAAAGACUAAAUCCAACGGGAAAGAGAUCUUCCUUUAAAAGGAAAUUGGGGUAUUGUUAGGACGUGAAAUGGAUGCUGGUCAGAAAAAACAAAACAAACCAAACCAAAUUAUCCCUACACUAAACUUACCAAUUGCCUUUUCUUCUCUUUACCUUGUAAACCUGUCAGUGCCCAGUCACUGUAGACAACCUCACCGGCAACAUGCUGCCCACACCUAGAAUAGGAGCCCAUGGGGCAGAAUAAUGGAGACCGUCCCAUUCCUUACAGUUUGUAUAAUGCUUGCUCAAGUAUAUUGAACUCUGCCAGUCCUGGAAUCAAAACAUUUUAGUCUUAGAACAAGAACUGAGAGGUUUUCAUACUGACUUUCACUCAUUCUCCAUUCUCCUUAAUUCUCCUCAAAUGCAUAGAAAUCCUGUGUUUCAUGUGUUCAUUCAUUCUUCUAUGCAACCACUAUUUAUGGAUGGCAACCCUGUGCUAGACAUUGUUCUAGGUGCUGAGGAAACAAAAGUGAAGUGGAAAGACAUAUCUGCCCUGGUGAGGCUGGAAGGAGCAAGCAAGGCUGGAGUUGGACUUUAGAUCUUAUCUGAAAUGCAAUAGGAAGCCACUCAAAGCUUUUGGGCAGGCAAGAAACAUGAUCAGAUCAUAUUUUUAGACACAUUAUGCAAACUGGUAUAUAGAGAAUGGACUGCAAGGAGAAAUGAACCAGGCCAAGAGGCCAGUCAGAGGACCAGUGUAGUAGCUAGAUGAAAAAAAAAGAUGGUAGCCUGGACUAGUUUGGUGGCCAAAGAGAUAAAGAGAUGUGGACAGAAUGAAGAGAUAUUUCUGAGGCAAAAUGAAUGGGGUGGGGUAGGGGGAGUGGUGGUAGUACAGGAAAGAAAAGAGUCAAAGAUAACUGAUUUUUCUGGCAUGAGUGACCAAGUAAAUGGUGACUACAAUGGGUAACCCAAGAGGCCUUGGCUAGAGGGCAAGCAGAGUAAAGGAUGAAUUACCUUUGGGUCAGUCUGAGCACAUGUGCAAUUCUCAUGUCAAGUAUGGAGUAGACUGUCUAAAUCUGAAGCUCAGGAGAGAGAUCCAGCAUGUGAAGUCACCAGUGGCUACAAGGCCAAGGAGUUAGAAGACACUGCCCAAGGAGAGUACAGAUUGAACAGAGAGGGAUAUCAACACUGGACUUACAUAUUUUAAAUGAAGAAACUCCGGAAUAUUUUGCCUCAAAAACUGUGACUUCUGUAUUCCACGGACCACUACAUUAAUUUUUCUCUUCUAUUGCAGCUUUUUAUAGUCUUCAACAACAACCAGUCCCUACAUUUAAGAAGGUUAAUAACUGAGACAGCCUUCCUGGUGGAUCCAUCAUUUGGCCCAGCUUGUAGAAAGAUUCCCAACUAGCUCUAAUUAGUUCCAUCUUAUUUGGAGGCAGAGGUAUUCCUCAUCAUACCCAUAUCCUCAUAUAAAUUGUCCAGUGCCCUAGGUACCAGGGAGAAAGAAGACGAAGAAGGACAUAUACCAGAAGCACAUUAAUAGGCUGCUGAAAAACUCUGCCACACUUUCAGAUGACAGGUCACCUACAGAUAAAUGAUUCAAGGAUCAACCAAGUUCUGAAGUUUUUUUUUGUUUUUUUUUUUUGGGAUAGAGUCUCACUGUGUCACCCAGGCUGGAGUGCAGUGGCGUGAUCUCAGCUCACUGCAACCUCUGCCUCCCGAGUUCAAGUGAUUCUCCUGCCUCAGCCUCCCAAGUAGCUGGGAUUAUAGGUGCCUGCCACCAGGCCUGGCUAAUUAUUUUUUGUAUUUUUAGUAGAAACAUAGUUUCACUAUGUUGGCCAGGCUGGUCUUGAACUCCUGACCUUGUGAUCCACCCGCCUCAGCCUCCCAAAGUGCUGGGAUACAGGUGUGAGCCACCAUGCCCGGCCAGUUCUUAAUACUGCCAGGAGUGCUUUAGAAGGCUGGGAAUAUGGGGCGAAAGAUUAGACACCCAAGCUGUUGAAAACCACACAGAGUUUCAGUAAAUAUAUGCACAAUUUGAAAAAUAUAUUUGCAAAAAUCUAGGUGUCUCCGGUCUAGUCCUUCCUAUUAAUCAAAUAAAUUACCGAGCUUCAUGGCCCAGUCUAUGAUCCUAGUUCUGACCGCUGCUGCCCGUAAAGGCCUCAAUGAAUUCCUCUCUGAGCUUCCAGACUUCCUUGGCUGGUGACUUGUUCCUCUUGGGACAGCUUUUGCUUGAGCUGAGCAGCCUGGCCCCCAGCUGUGCAGGGCCCUCUCUCCGGUGAGAGGAAACGCUUUCAGCUUAGUCUGUUAACACAAACAUUCAAAAGCAAACAUUCAAAAGCCACAGAUCAUGUUCGCAUAAAUAAAAUAGGAUUGAGAAAAGCUUUGCCCCAAGAAACCAAAGGGGUGUUUAAAAAACAGCUCUUGCUUUCCAAGUAGGCAGGCAGCAAAGCCACAGCAAUUCCAAAGGUUUGUGUGCUUGGUAGAGCUGGGUGGCUGCAGCCGCAGGCCUUUGAAGAGGAAAUGCCAUCCCUGGUACAGGCAGGCGGCCAACCCAUGAGUCCUGAAAGUACCAGAGAGAAGCAGAAAGCAGGGGAGCACAGUUAGGAAGUGAAAAGGGAGAGGAAGGCACCAAGGAGAUAAAUGAGGAGACUCUUCUUAUCUAGAGUUCCCACCCCAGACCUAAGAGCUACAGGACAGAGGAACUCACUGUGCCUGACAGAGCUGGGGCCUGGUGAGUCCUAGGUGGCGGGCACAGCCCAGAGUGACUAAGGCUGUGAGGAGGGGUGUGCGCCGUCACUGAGGGGUGGAGAGGGGUGGUGGUGUCUGGGCUGGGAGAUGCCUUUGCUUUGAAAGCUUUGGAGGAAAUUAACUUUACAAGGUGCCUCCCUGUCUCCCAGAGUUAUUAAAAGAAAGGAGGGAGCAAAGAAGAAAUGGAAAAAUGGUAAUACCUCAGGAAGGGCUGUGUGAUCCCAACUGGAGGAAAUGGGAGGCAGAUGAAGUGACGAAUGUGCAACCUCUCCUAAGGGAGGAAGAGCUCUGAAUGUGACCUUGUGCAAAUGGAAAAAAAAAAAAACAAACAAA